CAGCUGGGGGUCGCCCCGCCCUCUGGGCUUCUCUCCGGGCCUCUGCCGGGAGCUCUGAAUGCUCAGCGUGGCCCCUCUGCUACCGGCAGACAGAGAGUUUUGUCUGCUGCCUGGCGGAGCUCCGGCGCUUCCCCUCCGGGUCGCCGGACCCGCCUUUGAAAGUUCCCCCGCCCCGGUCCUCUCCGAGAUCUCCGGCAAUCCCUAGUCCCACGGGGCGGGCAACGGCAGCUGGGGGACGCCCCGCCCUCUGGGCUUCUGUCCGAGCCUCUGCCGGGAGCCCUGAAUGCUGGGCGUGGCCCCUCUGCUACCGGCAGACAGAGAGUUUUGUCUGCUGCCUGGCGGAGCUCCGGCGCUUCCCCUCCGGGUCGCCGGACCCGCCUUUGAAAGUUCCCCCGCCCCGGACCUCUCCGAGAUCUCCGGCAAUCCCUAGUCCCACGGGGCGGGCAACGGCAGCUGGGGGACGCCCCGCCCUCUGGGCUUCUGUCCGAGCCUCUGCCGGGAGCCCUGAAUGCUGGGCGUGGCCCCUCUGCUAAUGGCAGACAGAGAGUUUUGUCUGCUGCCCGGGCGGAGCUCCGGCGCUUCUCCACCGGAUCGCCGGACCCGCCUUUGAAAGUUCCCCCGCCCCGGUCCUCUCCGAGAUCUCCGGCAAUCCCUAGUCCCACGGGGCGGGCAACAGCAGCUGGGGGUCGCCCCGCCCUCUGGGCUUCUCUCCGGGCCUCUGCCGGGAGCCCUGAGUGCUCAGCGUGGCCCCUCUGCUACCGGCAGACAGAGAGUUUUGUCUGCUGCCUGGGGGAGCUCCGGCACUUCCCCUCCGGGUCGCCGAUCCGGCCUUUGAAAGUUCCCCCGCCCCGGUCCUCUCCGAGAUCUCCGGCAAUCCCUAGUCCCACGGGGCGGGCAACGGCAGCUGGGGGUCGCCCGCCCUCUGGGCUUCUGUCCGGGCCUCUGCCGGGAGCCCUGAGUGCUCAGCGUGGCCCCUCUGCUACCGGCAGACAGAGAGUUUUGUCUGCUGCCUGGGGGAGCUCCGGCACUUCCCCUCCGGGUCGCCGAUCCGGCCUUUGAAAGUUCCCCCGCCCCGGUCCUCUCCGAGAUCUCCGGCAAUCCCUAGUCCCACGGGGCGGGCAACGGCAGCUGGGAGACCUCCGUGCCCUCCGUGUCUCUCUCUGGGACCCUCCGGGCGCCCCGAGCACCAGGCCGGGUCUCCCCGCCAAUGGCGGGGAGAGACUCUCCCCGCGGGCUCAGGUGUGCAACUCCAAAGUUUCCCUCUGCGUUUAGGAGUAAUUGCAGGGGGUUUAAGUAGGGUUCUGGUCACCUGUUUCCACCGUCGCUCCUCUGUUGUGUUCUCGCUCCUGCCCUAGAUGUGUGUGGAUCCUCUGGGGGCGUCCGUUGGAAGAAAGCCGCUUGCGGGUACUAGGCUGCCCGUCGGGGUCGGAGAGUUUUCACCUAUUUCCACAUCCUCCCGGAGGAAAGUCCGUCCGCCUUCCGAUGUAUAGUCGCGUGGGUGUCUCAGACGUCCUGAGAUGCUGUCUGGAUAUCCUUUGUCAAGCGAUAAGUGUCCAAAUAAUUGUAGACUCGAAGGGCGAGAGACAAAGAGGACUACUCACGGCGCCAUCUUGGAAUCACCAAUGUGUGUGGAUCCUCUGGGGGCGUCCGUUGGAAGAAAGCCGCUUGCGGGUACUAGGCUG
ensembl:lncRNA